GGACCUGAAGUGGGAGUUCCACAUAGACUCCAUUGUGAAGAAGGCCCAGCAGAGGUUGUACUUCCUUCGCCAGCUGAGGAAGUUCAACCUGCCACAGGAGCUACUGAUGCAAUUCUACUCUGCAGUCGUCGAGUCUGUCCUCUGCACUUCUAUAACUGUCUGGUUCGGCUCAGCUCCGAAAUCAGACAUCAGAAGAUUACAGCAGAUAGUUCGGACUGCUGGAAGAAUCAUCGGCACAUCCCCCCCCCCCAGCUCUCCAAAAACUGUACUCGUCCAGAGUCAGUAAAAGGGCUAGCAAAAUCAUUGUAGACCCCUCACAUCCAGGCCACUUCCUCUUCGAACCUUUGCCAUCUGGCCGGCGCUACAGAGCACUGAGCACCAGGACAGGCCAGGCACAAGAAAAGUUUCUUUCCUCAGGCCAUCUACCUCAUGAACAGCUAAAUCCCCCCUAGAGAGUAAACCAGUGCAAUACAUAACGCUGUUUAUAUUUAUAUCUAUUUAUCACAUCAUAUGUCUUACUCACAUUCCGUUGCAUUUGUAUAGAACAUACAUAUAAUGUCUCGUGACAAUUUUUUGUAUAUUGUGUACUUAAUAUUUUUUAUCCUUUAUUCACAUAUUCUAUCUUCUCAUCUGUGUCUUGUCACUGUCAUUCUGUCUGUGCUGUGGAAGUUUCUGUCACCAAGACAAAUUCCUUGUAUGUGUGAACAUACUUGGCAGUAAAGCUUGUUCUGAUUCUGAUUCUGAAUAAGAAAAUGUCAGUCAGUAAGUAAAACAAUGUUGGGCCCAAGUAUUCAGAGUGGUACAGACAGCAAUGUACACAAUCACAUCAACAGUGAGAGACAAUACAGAAAGUCGCCAGGCAGGUACAGAAGGACCCCAGUCUUACCCCCAUCCCCCCCCCGCGUCUCUGUUGCAGCGCCCGGAGGUUUUUAUAACCCGCGAGAACCCGGGGCUCUCCCUCGGCAGGUCCGUGUCGGUUUGUCCACCAGAAGAGAUUGUAAUCCCCGUGUGUCCAGGCGUGCCUUCGCUGCCUCCUUCAAUGCGUGGUCCCGUGCCGGUCGGUCUCCAGGUCGUCCCUCGUCGAUGCGUCAUCCGUCUGCUUGUCUCCGAUCCCCGUCGGUGUCCAGGCGUGCCUUCGCUGCCUCCUUCAAUGCGUGGUCCCGUGCCGGUCGGUCUCCAGGUCGUCCCUCGUCGAUGCGUCAUCCGUCUGCUUGUCUCCGAUCCCCGUCGGUGUCCCCCUUGCGUGCGGUGAGGAGCAUGCACCUUUGCUUAAAAAGCGUUCCCGAGUUUUCCAGGUCCGUUGUUGGUGCCGCUUUGUGCGCAAGUGCUCCGUUCAAGGUCCCAGGCACAACUCCGCUGAUGUAGUGUUCUUUCAUCAAUAUCGAGUUGUUUCCAUUUGGUGAUGGCGGAUCCUUGGUUUUUACACUGAGCACUUUGUUGGGUUGUUAUUCAGAACAGAUAACAGAUAUUAAUGUUCAGUGUAGCUUUCGUAAAGGUUAAGCAGGACUCCUGACGUUUCGCACCUAGCUGGUGCUCCUUCAGAGGAGAAUCUGCUGGCUAGGGGGGCAGUGCAGUCGUUUAUAUCCCAAGGUGUGUGUGUGUGUGUGUGUGUGUGUGUGUGUGUGUGUGUGUGUGUGUGUGUGUGUGUGUGAGAGAGAGAGAGAUGUUCAUUGUGGAGUGAUGGCUCUCCCUUGUGGGUGUUGUGUAGAAUUGCAGGUGGGUUUGAAAUUUCUGUGGUGAAUGUCUUGUGAUGUGGCUGGGGUUUAGGUGUCCAGGACAGGUUUGUAUGCUUGGAUUGGGGUAGGCUGUGGAUGGGAGAUGUUUUUUAGGAAAAAAAAAACGUUUUGAGCGUGUAUGAUGUGUGGUCUGAGGACAGGGUUAGGAUGAGGGCAGGGGUCAGGGUGAGGGCUGGGGUCAAGGUGAUGGUUAGGGCAAGAGUUAGGGUUCGGGGUUACGUAGGUUUCGUUCUGAUCAAUGUUUCUUCUUUUAAUUUGUGUAAUCUGUAUCUACUUUUUGCCCACUUCACCGCCACCUCCCAUUCUGCCUUACUGGCUAAGUCAGACGUGGGUUUCUGUGUGUGUGUGUGUGUGUGUGUAUUAUGCCUUCAUGAUGGGCCUGGAGUAUAUACAUGUUGUUUUUCAUCCAGGCCUCCACGUGUCUUUGCACUUUCUGUGAUGUGAUGUUGUUAGGGGAUGAAGGUUUAAUAAACUGGGUUAAUUUGUUUGCCUCUUGGUGUGG
ensembl:lncRNA